GACGAACGCUGGCGGCGUGCUUAACUCAUGCAAGUCGAACGGAAAGGCCCUGCUUUUGUGGGGUGCUCGAGUGGCGAACGGGUGAGUAACACGUGAGUAACCUGCCCUUGACUUUGGGAUAACUUCAGGAAACUGGGGCUAAUACCGGAUAGGAGCUCCUGCUGCAUGGUGGGGGUUGGAAAGUUUCGGCGGUUGGGGAUGGACUCGCGGCUUAUCAGCUUGUUGGUGGGGUAGUGGCUUACCAAGGCUUUGACGGGUAGCCGGCCUGAGAGGGUGACCGGCCACAUUGGGACUGAGAUACGGCCCAGACUCCUACGGGAGGCAGCAGUGGGGAAUAUUGCACAAUGGGCGGAAGCCUGAUGCAGCAACGCCGCGUGCGGGAUGACGGCCUUCGGGUUGUAAACCGCUUUCGCCUGUGACGAAGCGUGAGUGGCGGUAAUGGGUAAAGAAGCACCGGCUAACUACGUG
rnacentral:rRNA from 1 species